UAAAAGUGAUAAUUUUUAGUACUCCCUGCUCAAUGAAAAUUAAAUAGCCGCAAAAUUUGUGCUAAGGUAGCAUAAUCAUUUGCCUAAUAAUUGUAGGAUAGUAUGAAUGGGACAACACGUAAUCUUCUUUAUUAAGAAAAUUAUUCUAACUUGAGCUGUAAGUAAAAACUCUUACAAAGCUAGGGGGACGAUAAGACCCUGUUAAACUUUACCUGUAGGUUAAGCUGGGGCGGCAAAAAAUCAAACCUUUAUUUUUAUACACACAACAAAGCCUUUACAGUGGAUAGAACAAGUUACUAUAGGGAUAACAGCACUAUCACCCCCCAAAGACCUUAUAAAAAGGGUGGUUUGUGACCUCGAUGUUGAAUUAAAGAUCUAUUUGAGGCAGUCCUCCAAUAAGAAAGUCUGUUCGACUUUUAAACCAUU
rnacentral:rRNA from 1 species